AGCGUGAUAAAGGACAGGUUCUGUUCGACAAAGUCUGCGAGCAUCUCAAUCUUCUGGAGAAAGAUUACUUCGGUAUCACAGUCCGUGAUGUGGAGAAUCAGAAGAACUGGCUGGAUCCUGCCAAAGACAUGAAGAAGCAGAUCAGAGGCGUCACCUGGAAUCUCUCAUUCAACGUGAAGUUUUACCCUCCGGAGCCGGCGCUGCUGUCUGAAGACAUCACCAGG